rnacentral:rRNA from 1 species
AUUGAACGCUGGCGGCAUGCCUUACACAUGCAAGUCGAACGGCAGCACGGGGCAACCUGGUGGCGAGUGGCGAACGGGUGAGUAAUGCAUCGGAACGUACCUUUCAGUGGGGGAUAACGUAGCGAAAGUUACGCUAAUACUGCAUAUUCUGUGAGCAGGAGAGCAGGGGAUCGCAAGACCUUGCGCUGAUUGAGCGGCCGAUGUCAGAUUAGCUAGUUGGGGAGGUAAAGGCUCACCAAGGCGACGAUCUGUAGCGGGUCUGAGAGGAUGAUCCGCCACACUGGAACUGAGACACGGUCCAGACUCCUACGGGAGGCAGCAGUGGGGAAUUUUGGACAAUGGGGGCAACCCUGAUCCAGCCAUGCCGCGUGAGUGAAGAAGGCCUUCGGGUUGUAAAGCUCUUUCGGCCGGGAAGAAAUCGCACGGGCUAAUACCCUGUGUGGAUGACGGUACCGGAAUAAGAAGCACCGGCUAACUACGUGCCAGCAGCCGCCGUAAAAC